UAAAAAUAUAAAAAUUAGCCUGGCAUGGUAGCACACGCCUGUGGUCCCAGCUACUCAGGAGGCUGAGGCACGAGAAUUACUUGAACCCAGGAAGCCGAGGUUUCAGUGAGCCAAGAGCAUGCCACUGCACUCCAGCCUAUAUGACAGAAAGGGACUUUGUCUUAAAAAAAAAGCACUGGCUUAAUUUAUUAGCUUGAAUGGCUGUUUGUCAACCUUAGUGUUCUGCGUUAGAGAAAAUGUGCCAAUCAUCACAGAUGUCUUUACAAUGAAUAUGAGUUCACCACUUUUAGUGAUUAGAUUUUAGAGAGUAACAUCCAAAACAGUGAAUAAUAAAUGAAAAAUAUACUUCAGGCUUAUCACCUUUUCAAAAUAAAAAAUCAAUGUGGGUGGAGUACAAAACUGAUAAUAUUUAAUACCUAUACAUAAAAUGCCUUUGGUGCUAUGUAUAUUGAUUGUAAUGUUUAUGAAACUGCCUUUGCAAAAUUAUAACAGCAAGA
rnacentral:lncRNA from 1 species